UGGAAGACAACAUCUAAAAUGGCCUCUAGAACCUUUGAACUGGCUUGAACAGGCUCGUACCAAACCUGGCUUGAUCGGUUCGAACUCGGACCGGCAUUGCCAAUGUUUGGUCCGCGUUUGAAGCUUCAAACUGAACUGGUUUGAAUUUGAACUGGUUCAAAUUUGAAUAGGUUUGCACAUCCCUACCUUGUCGUGAUAGGGGAGCUGAACUCCAUGGACCAAAAAAAGUUGGACCGGGUAGCAGAAGGUCAUGGAAAAGGCUGAAAUCUCUACUGAAUUUGUGGCUCCACGCUCUUGUCAAGGACUCCACAGAUGAAAUGGAAUAUACCUUUCGAGUAGACGUACCUGUUCAGCAGAGUAAAGAGGGAGGGAGGUUCUUGACCAUCUGCCAAGACUAGAGAAUGUUGCUGGUGCCCCUCCUUCCAAAACUAUGUGCAGAACCAAAUAAAAGUCUUCCAAACCCAACAGCAAAGAACCUUUUGAGACAAUUGCUAAGAGCACCAUGAAGUUGAGUUUGUUCCUCAUCGGCUUCCUCCUCUUGUGUGUUGAACUGCAUGCUCAGGAGAGACCUGGUACCUGUCCAAAGAUUAAAUGGAAAUGUAAAAGGCUUAACCCCCCAAAUGAUUGUGAUGGAGAUAGCCAAUGUCCAGAGCCAAAAAAAUGCUGUGAAGGGCAUUGUGGAAGGAAAUGUAUUUAGAAAGAAGCAUUGCCUCUGUGUCCAUGGGAGAAGAACAGUAUCAGCAGUGGAUUGCUGUAUCUAGACUCUCACUAUCAGAUCCUGCUGGUUUGAAGGAGGGACUCUGAUGAGGUUGCCAAUAAAUUUUCAUAUACCACA